rnacentral:rRNA from 1 species
AACUAACGCUGGCGGCGUGCCUAACACAUGCAAGUCGAACGAGAAAGUUGGCUUCGGCCGAUGAGUAAAGUGGCGCACGGGCGAGUAACGCGUGGAUAAUCUGCCCUUUAGUUUGGAAUAACGUACCGAAAGGUGCGCUAAUACCGGAUAAUACUGAAUGACUACUGUCGUUUAGUCAAAGAAGGCUUCUGUUUACAUGCUUUUGCUGAAGGAUGAGUCCGCGUACCAUUAGCUAGUUGGUAGGGUAAUGGCCUACCAAGGCGACGAUGGUUAGCUGGUCUGAGAGGAUGAUCAGCCACACUGGAACUGAGACACGGUCCAGACUCCUACGGGAGGCAGCAGUGAGGAAUAUUGCGCAAUGGGGGCAACCCUGACGCAGCAACGCCGCGUGAGUGAGGAAGGUUUUCGGACCGUAAAGCUCUGUCGAGCGGGAAGAAAUGCAUGGUGGCUAAUAUCCAUCAUGCUUGACGGUACCGCUAAAGGAAGCACC